UGCAGUCGUACGCUUCUUUUUCCACCGGAGCUUGCUCCACCGGAAAAAGAGGAGUGGCGAACGGGUGAGUAACACGUGGGUAACCUGCCCAUCAGAAGGGGAUAACACUUGGAAACAGGUGCUAAUACCGUAUAACAAUCGAAACCGCAUGGUUUUGAUUUGAAAGGCGCUUUCGGGUGUCGCUGAUGGAUGGACCCGCGGUGCAUUAGCUAGUUGGUGAGGUAACGGCUCACCAAGGCCACGAUGCAUAGCCGACCUGAGAGGGUGAUCGGCCACAUUGGGACUGAGACACGGCCCAAACUCCUACGGGAGGCAGCAGUAGGGAAUCUUCGGCAAUGGACGAAAGUCUGACCGAGCAACGCCGCGUGAGUGAAGAAGGUUUUCGGAUCGUAAAACUCUGUUGUUAGAGAAGAACAAGGAUGAGAGUAACUGUUCAUCCCUUGACGGUAUCUAACCAGAAAGCCACGGCUAACUACGUGCCAGCAGCCGCGGUAAUACGUAGGUGGCAAGCGUUGUCCGGAUUUAUUGGGCGUAAAGCGAGCGCAGGCGGUUUCUUAAGUCUGAUGUGAAAGCCCCCGGCUCAACCGGGGAGGGUCAUUGGAAACUGGGAGACUUGAGUGCAGAAGAGGAGAGUGGAAUUCCAUGUGUAGCGGUGAAAUGCGUAGAUAUAUGGAGGAACACCAGU
rnacentral:rRNA from 1 species